CUCACAUUCGCCGUCGUUAGNCAAGCCUAACACAUGCAAGUCGAACGGUACACAGAGGAGCUUGCUCCUUGGGUGACGAGUGGCGGACGGGUGAGUAAUGUCUGGGAAACUGCCUGAUGGAGGGGGAUAACUACUGGAAACGGUAGCUAAUACCGCAUAACGUCGCAAGACCAAAGAGGGGGACCUUCGGGCCUCUUGCCAUCAGAUGUGCCCAGAUGGGAUUAGCUAGUAGGUGGGGUAAUGGCUCACCUAGGCGACGAUCCCUAGCUGGUCUGAGAGGAUGACCAGCCACACUGGAACUGAGACACGGUCCAGACUCCUACGGGAGGCAGCAGUGGGGAAUAUUGCACAAUGGGCGCAAGCCUGAUGCAGCCAUGCCGCCGUGUAUGAAGAAGGCCUUCGGGGUUGUAAAGUACUUUUCAGCGGGGCACGGAAAGGCGGAUACGGGUUACAUAACCGGUGUUCGAUUGACGUUUACCCGCAGAAAGAAAGGCAACCGAGGCUAAACUUCCCGGUGGCCAGGCAGGCCCGGGCACGGGGUNAACUUAACCGCGGAAACCGGGUNGCC
rnacentral:rRNA from 1 species